rnacentral:rRNA from 1 species
AGUCGACGAGUUCUCGUUGAUGAUCGGUGCUUGCACCGAGAUUCAACAUGGAACGAGUGGCGGACGGGUGAGUAACACGUGGGUAACCUGCCCUUAAGUGGGGGAUAACAUUUGGAAACAGAUGCUAAUACCGCAUAGAUCCAAGAACCGCAUGGUUCUUGGCUGAAAGAUGGCGUAAGCUAUCGCUUUUGGAUGGACCCGCGGCGUAUUAGCUAGUUGGUGAGGUAAUGGCUCACCAAGGCGAUGAUACGUAGCCGAACUGAGAGGUUGAUCGGCCACAUUGGGACUGAGACACGGCCCAAACUCCUACGGGAGGCAGCAGUAGGGAAUCUUCCACAAUGGACGCAAGUCUGAUGGAGCAACGCCGCGUGAGUGAAGAAGGCUUUCGGGUCGUAAAACUCUGUUGUUGGAGAAGAAUGGUCGGCAGAGUAACUGUUGUCGGCGUGACGGUAUCCAACCAGAAAGCCACGGCUAACUACGUGCCAGCAGCCGCGGUAAUACGUAGGUGGCAAGCGUUAUCCGGAUUUAUUGGGCGUAAAGCGAGCGCAGGCGGUUUUUUAAGUCUGAUGUGAAAGCCCUCGGCUUAACCGAGGAAGCGCAUCGGAAACUGGGAAACUUGAGUGCAGAAGAGGACAGUGGAACUCCAUGUGUAGCGGUGAAAUGCGUAGAUAUAUGGAAGAACACCAGUGGCGAAGGCGGCUGUCUGGUCUGUAACUGACGCUGAGGCUCGAAAGCAUGGGUAGCGAACAGGAUUAGAUACCCUGGUAGUCCAUGCCGUAAACGAUGAAUGCUAGGUGUUGGAGGGUUUCCGCCCUUCAGUGCCGCAGCUAACGCAUUAAGCAUUCCGCCUGGGGAGUACGACCGCAAGGUUGAAACUCAAAGGAAUUGACGGGGGCCCGCACAAGCGGGUGGAGCAUGUGGUUUAAUUCGAAGCAACGCGAAGAACCUUACCAGGUCUUGACAUCUUUUGAUCACCUGAGAGA